UACGUAGGGUGCAAGCGUUGUCCGGAAUUAUUGGGCGUAAAGAGCUUGUAGGCGGUUUGUCGCGUCUGCUGUGAAAUUUCGGGGCUCAACCCCGAACUUGCAGUGGGUACGGGCAGACUAGAGUGUGGUAGGGGAGACUGGAAUUCCUGGUGUAGCGGUGAAAUGCGCAGAUAUCAGGAGGAACACCGAUGGCGAAGGCGGCAUCCUGGACCGACACUGACGCUGAGGAGCGAAAGCCAGGGGAGCAAACGGG
rnacentral:rRNA from 1 species